CAGAGGGGGCAAGCGUUGUUCGGAAUUACUGGGCGUAAAGGGCGCGUAGGCGGCCUUCUAAGUCAGACGUGAAAUCCCCGGGCUCAACCCGGGAACUGCGUCUGAUACUGGACGGCUCGAAUCCGGGAGAGGGAUGUGGAAUUCCAGGUGUAGCGGUGAAAUGCGUAGAUAUCUGGAGGAACACCGGUGGCGAAGGCGGCAUCCUGGACCGGUAUUGACGCUGAGGCGCGAAAGCCAGGGGAGCAAACGGGAUUAGAUACCCCGGUAGUCUUGGCCCUAAACGAUGAAUGCUUGGUGUGGCGGGUAUCGAUCCCUGCCGUGCCGAAGCUAACGCAUUAAGCAUUCCGCCUGGGGAGUACGGUCGCAAGGCUG
rnacentral:rRNA from 1 species